AUGCCACUGCACUCCAUUCUGGACGACAGAGCCAGACUCUGUCUCAAAAACAAAAAACAAAAAAAGCAAACCUUGUUCACAAAAUUAUUAUGGGGCACCCAGUAGUAGCCCCUGAGCUGGAUGUGUGGUAGACUCCCCAGAUGUUAACCUGAAGUCUGCCCUACUGUGGCGAAACCUGCUUGUGUGCUAGAAAAAAGACCCAAGCUGCCGAAAACCACCUGUACCGUAUCCUGCCCCAUUUGUCCUCACCCAACUUCUGGUAAGUAGUGUCCAUUGAAAAAUGCUAGUUGGGCUGACAUGGUGGCCUGAGCAAUAAUGCAUCUCAGGAGUCUGUUGGCGGGGUGGAGGUAGGAAAAGGAGGGCACUGUGUGUUUUUCCUGACAGUCCCCUCAGAAAUGCUGGUGGCUUGGUGCUGGAAGGGUGUUGCCUCACCAUGUUAGCUGAGCUGUGUGGUUUCUUUGAAUGUUAACAACUUUCACUGUUUCGGCUUGAGUUUCCUCCCUGACAUCACCAGAUGAAAACAUAUGUCAGAGGUUUUGGGUUUCUGGUGCCAAAUCCAAGAUGGCUUAUCAGCAAGCGCCCCCCGCCAGACAGUGGAGGCUGUGCUGGGGCAGAGCUGCUUCCCCUUUGACAUUGGCUUUUUUCUAAAACCGAAAAUAAGCAACCGUGGCUGUGACUUCACUUUUCUUGGAACUGCUUUACAUUACCCCCCAAAUGGAGAAAACCCUCAUUUAGCAGCUUUUGGAUUGCCAAGUUCUCUAAUUCUUUCUGUUGCAUAUUCUUGUAAUGCUCAAGUUUUACUGACAAAGUCUUCUGCAUCAGGUGAAGCAGGAGGAGGAAGGAAUGACCAUGUGAAGUAACUGAGCGCUUUGUUGCCUGGCCUGUGGGUGUGUGGUUUCAUGGUUGAGGAGAAAAAGCACCUGGAAGACACAGUGUGUGUAGAAUGCCUUCCAGUUCCAAGGGUGACAACCCUGCGAUCUGCUGGCCAGCAGAUGGGCUAGGGCUGCUGUUGCUAAACAUCAGGCUACAGCCGAAACUUACAGAGCAGCUGCCUGCUUCAAGGACAAGGGGAAAAAUGCAUUUUCAGUCAUAAUGACCUACAUUUAGCAGAUAUUUCGGAGCCCGUGCGAAAGGACAUCUUCAAAGGGCCUCUUCCUCCUUGUGAUAAGGGAGACAGUGAUGUUAGUCAAACGUGGGGCCCAGUCCUGGUCCUGCCCGUUCCUGUCUGACUUUGGCCUUGGAAGUCUGUGAAGCCGAGACAAUUCAUCCUUCAAAGGGUGGUACCGGAUAUGUUGUCAUUACCAUGGGGAUUACACGAAACAUCCUGAAGUUAGAGCAAUCCAUUUUAAACUGAUGUUUUGUUGAUGGCUGACGUAGCGGACUCAAAACAACGAGCACUUCUGCUUGAUACACAGAUUCUCCGAGGUUCCUGUGGAGCCACAGCACCUCCUGUCUUGGCACUUCAUAGUUGUCUCAUCGAGUCCAAGGCUGCCUCCCAAGGGUCUGGCUGGUAGACCAUGAAGUUGAUUCCUGCCUUAAGCCUGGCUCUGCAAGAAGUUGUCCUAUAUUCUCACCAGUCACAUUUUUGGUACUAGAACGGUGCUUUUUAUAGUGCACUCGUAACUGGACGCUGAAAUCACAGCCUGGCCAUUUGGAUGUUCAACCGAUGCUUUAUGCUGCUGAGUCCUUGGAACUCACUCCCCGUGCCGGAACUCACUGGAGCUCAGGUGUGUGGCACUACCUUGUUUCUCUGCAGCUGGUAUUGCAAACAUUUUUCAUGCAUUUAUUUCCCAUUGUUUACUUUUGAGUUUUUGUUUUGUGAGACAGGGUCUCAGUCUGUCACG
rnacentral:lncRNA from 1 species